rnacentral:rRNA from 1 species
AUUGAACGCUGGCGGCAUGCUUUACACAUGCAAGUCGAACGGUAACAGGCCGCCAGGUGCUGACGAGUGGCGAACGGGUGAGUAAUGCAUCGGAACGUGCCCAGUCGUGGGGGAUAACUACUCGAAAGAGUAGCUAAUACCGCAUACGAUCUAUGGAUGAAAGCGGGGGACCGUAAGGCCUCGCGCGAUUGGCGCGGCCGAUGUCAGAUUAGGUAGUUGGUGGGGUAAAGGCUCACCAAGCCAACGAUCUGUAGCUGGUCUGAGAGGACGACCAGCCACACUGGGACUGAGACACGGCCCAGACUCCUACGGGAGGCAGCAGUGGGGAAUUUUGGACAAUGGGCGCAAGCCUGAUCCAGCAAUGCCGCGUGCAGGAAGAAGGCCUUCGGGUUGUAAACUGCUUUUGUACGGAACGAAACGGCUCUGGUUAAUACCCGGGGCUAAUGACGGUACCGUAAGAAUAAGCACCGGCUAACUACGUG